UAAAAUAGUGACCGCAGACCGCAGUAGUUGUUGUUUGUCUGUUUCCCCCCAGAACUUUAAUAAUUUGUUUUUCCCCCUUCUUGCCACCAUUAUCUACAGAGUUGCUCUUUUUUGGUUGAUGACAUUUAUUUCUUUUGUAGCUCUGGAGAAAUCUGAGGGUAGCUGAUGCUGCUUCUGGAGUUCCAAGAACUUAAUUGCAUUUGGACUUUUAGGCUCUUCUCAUGUUAGGAAAUUUAGUUUUCAUGGUGUUUGUGUUUGGAUGAGAUGUAAACAACAAUUACAUGACUUCUUUAGAGCUAUUGUACGAUGAAAAAUGUUGCUUAUGUAAAGAAUCUAUCCACCAAUCUGAAAAACAUGCCGCUCUAGAUGUAAGAACUACUUUCACAAUUAUUCUUUGUUUAGUGGAGGUGAUUGUGGGAAUUUGCAUAAUGAUUUUUGUCAAUGUUCUCAAGUCUUUUAUGUUUUGGGUAUAUGUUUAUUGGAAAAUUGUGUGAAUAAUCAUAUGCAAGUAGAGCUGGAUUGGCAAGCUUGGGGUGCUUGAUAAUGCCUGUAACAAUUACUUGUAAAACAAUAAUAAUACUGGG
rnacentral:lncRNA from 1 species